rnacentral:rRNA from 1 species
GGGUUGUGAGGUUAAGCGACUAAGCGUACACGGUGGAUGCCCUGGCAGUCAGAGGCGAUGAAGGACGUGCUAAUCUGCGAUAAGCGUCGGUAAGGUGAUAUGAACCGUUAUAACCGGCGAUUUCCGAAUGGGGAAACCCAGUGUGUUUCGACACACUAUCAUUAACUGAAUCCAUAGGUUAAUGAGGCGAACCGGGGGAACUGAAACAUCUAAGUACCCCGAGGAAAAGAAAUCAACCGAGAUUCCCCCAGUAGCGGCGAGCGAACGGGGAGCAGCCCAGAGCCUGAAUCAGUGUGUGUGUUAGUGGAAGCGUCUGGAAAGGCGCGCGAUACAGGGUGACAGCCCCGUACACAAAAAUGCACAUACUGUGAGCUCGAUGAGUAGGGCGGGACACGUGGUAUCCUGUCUGAAUAUGGGGGGACCAUCCUCCAAGGCUAAAUACUCCUGACUGACCGAUAGUGAACCAGUACCGUGAGGGAAAGGCGAAAAGAACCCCGGCGAGGGGAGUGAAAAAGAACCUGAAACCGUGUACGUACAAGCAGUGGGAGCACGCUUCGGCGUGUGACUGCGUACCUUUUGUAUAAUGGGUCAGCGACUUAUAUUCUGUAGCAAGGUUAACCGAAUAGGGGAGCCGAAGGGAAACCGAGUCUUAACUGGGCGUUAAGUUGCAGGGUAUAGACCCGAAACCCGGUGAUCUAGCCAUGGGCAGGUUGAAGGUUGGGUAACACUAACUGGAGGACCGAACCGACUAAUGUUGAAAAAUUAGCGGAUGACUUGUGGCUGGGGGUGAAAGGCCAAUCAAACCGGGAGAUAGCUGGUUCUCCCCGAAAGCUAUUUAGGUAGCGCCUCGUGAAUUCAUCUCCGGGGGUAGAGCACUGUUUCGGCAAGGGGGUCAUCCCGACUUACCAACCCGAUGCAAACUGCGAAUACCGGAGAAUGUUAUCACGGGAGACACACGGCGGGUGCUAACGUCCGUCGUGAAGAGGGAAACAACCCAGACCGCCAGCUAAGGUCCCAAAGUCAUGGUUAAGUGGGAAACGAUGUGGGAAGGCCCAGACAGCCAGGAUGUUGGCUUAGAAGCAGCCAUCAUUUAAAGAAAGCGUAAUAGCUCACUGGUCGAGUCGGCCUGCGCGGAAGAUGUAACGGGGCUAAACCAUGCACCGAAGCUGCGGCAGCGACACUAUGUGUUGUUGGGUAGGGGAGCGUUCUGUAAGCCUGUGAAGGUGUGCUGUGAGGCAUGCUGGAGGUAUCAGAAGUGCGAAUGCUGACAUAAGUAACGAUAAAGCGGGUGAAAAGCCCGCUCGCCGGAAGACCAAGGGUUCCUGUCCAACGUUAAUCGGGGCAGGGUGAGUCGACCCCUAAGGCGAGGCCGAAAGGCGUAGUCGAUGGGAAACAGGUUAAUAUUCCUGUACUUGGUGUUACUGCGAAGGGGGGACGGAGAAGGCUAUGUUGGCCGGGCGACGGUUGUCCCGGUUUAAGCGUGUAGGCUGGUUUUCCAGGCAAAUCCGGAAAAUCAAGGCUGAGGCGUGAUGACGAGGCACUACGGUGCUGAAGCAACAAAUGCCCUGCUUCCAGGAAAAGCCUCUAAGCAUCAGGUAACAUUAAAUCGUACCCCAAACCGACACAGGUGGUCAGGUAGAGAAUACCAAGGCGCUUGAGAGAACUCGGGUGAAGGAACUAGGCAAAAUGGUGCCGUAACUUCGGGAGAAGGCACGCUGAUAUGUAGGUGAAGUCCCUCGCGGAUGGAGCUGAAAUCAGUCGAAGAUACCAGCUGGCUGCAACUGUUUAUUAAAAACACAGCACUGUGCAAACACGAAAGUGGACGUAUACGGUGUGACGCCUGCCCGGUGCCGGAAGGUUAAUUGAUGGGGUUAGCGGUAACGCGAAGCUCUUGAUCGAAGCCCCGGUAAACGGCGGCCGUAACUAUAACGGUCCUAAGGUAGCGAAAUUCCUUGUCGGGUAAGUUCCGACCUGCACGAAUGGCGUAAUGAUGGCCAGGCUGUCUCCACCCGAGACUCAGUGAAAUUGAACUCGCUGUGAAGAUGCAGUGUACCCGCGGCAAGACGGAAAGACCCCGUGAACCUUUACUAUAGCUUGACACUGAACAUUGAGCCUUGAUGUGUAGGAUAGGUGGGAGGCUUUGAAGUGUGGACGCCAGUCUGCAUGGAGCCGACCUUGAAAUACCACCCUUUAAUGUUUGAUGUUCUAACGUUGACCCGUAAUCCGGGUUGCGGACAGUGUCUGGUGGGUAGUUUGACUGGGGCGGUCUCCUCCUAAAGAGUAACGGAGGAGCACGAAGGUUGGCUAAUCCUGGUCGGACAUCAGGAGGUUAGUGCAAUGGCAUAAGCCAGCUUGACUGCGAGCGUGACGGCGCGAGCAGGUGCGAAAGCAGGUCAUAGUGAUCCGGUGGUUCUGAAUGGAAGGGCCAUCGCUCAACGGAUAAAAGGUACUCCGGGGAUAACAGGCUGAUACCGCCCAAGAGUUCAUAUCGACGGCGGUGUUUGGCACCUCGAUGUCGGCUCAUCACAUCCUGGGGCUGAAGUAGGUCCCAAGGGUAUGGCUGUUCGCCAUUUAAAGUGGUACGCGAGCUGGGUUUAGAACGUCGUGAGACAGUUCGGUCCCUAUCUGCCGUGGGCGCUGGAGAACUGAGGGGGGCUGCUCCUAGUACGAGAGGACCGGAGUGGACGCAUCACUGGUGUUCGGGUUGUCAUGCCAAUGGCACUGCCCGGUAGCUAAAUGCGGAAGAGAUAAGUGCUGAAAGCAUCUAAGCACGAAACUUGCCCCGAGAUGAGUUCUCCCUGACUCCUUGAGAGUCCUGAAGGAACGUUGAAGACGACGACGUUGAUAGGCCGGGUGUGUAAGCGCAGCGAUGCGUUGAGCUAACCGGUACUAAUGAACCGUGAGGCUUAACCUUACAACGCCGAAGGUGU